rnacentral:lncRNA from 1 species
CAAAGUCGCAGGGCGGGCCGAGUGGACUUCCGCUGCUGGCCUGGGGCUUCCCAGCCGUCUUGGCGUUGUCCUCUCCAACCCCCGCCGCUCCGCGUAGAACGCCGCUCUCAGGCUGCCGUCAAGCUCCCGCGGCACUCUCCUAGGUGGCCCGACGAGACCCAGAGUGACCCGCGGGACGCCUGUAUCGACCGCGUCCUCUUCCCACCAGCGUGGGAUUCGGUUGAACGUGGAGUCCCCAGCAAUCUUCAGUCUCUCACCAGGGCCAGGGACUCGUCUGGGGCGCGGGGGAAAGAAGCGUGGCGGGGCUGUAGAUGCCGCGUGAGUAGGAUGCAGAUUGCACCGCUGGAGCGCUUGACAACCAACCGAGCGUUGGCUUAGUUUUGUUUUCCCGCACAGCAAGCUCUCUGUCUUUCAGAGGAAGAUCGAAGACUAAAUGAAGAUUUUAGGCGGUAUCAAAUGGAAAGUUUUUCCAAAUAUUCAUCUGUACAGAAAGCUGUCUGCCAAGGAGAAGGAGACGACACAUUUGAAAACCUAGUAUUUGACCAAAGCUUUUUAGCUCCUCUUGUUACUGAGUAUGAUAAACACCUAGGAGAACUAAAUGGGCAGCUGAAAUAUUACCAGGCAUAACGAGGACCUUGGAAAAGUUCACCUUUCAAACCAAAUUUAUAGUUAGAAUUUGCUAUUCUGAUCUCCUAGACCAAGCUUCCUUGAUCUUCUCGGUUGAAAGAGAGAGAAAAAGGCUGGCAGAACUGCCUGUUCCACCUGGCCCUUGCGAAAGUGUACUCCAGGAUAAGCUUCUCUCCUUUAGCUUAGGAAGCACAAUCAAGACUAAUACACAAUCAUGAAUUAGUUACCGUUUUAAGUGAGAUUUUGCAUGCUUUUACAUGUAAAUUCAGGGUUUUGUGUGUGUGUGUGUGUGUGUGUGUGUGUGUGCGCGCGCGCACACUCUCCAUUUGCUCAUUCACACUUACUGAGAGUUGACUACUUAUUUUUUGCUAUUUUGCUUUUACUCAUAUUUUCGCCAACUUUAAAUGCUUUCUUUUCUUUUGAAAUCCUAACAUCUUUUUACUCCUUCAGAGAACGUUAAUCAGACCUUCAUUUAAUUCCCUUUCUGGUGUGCAUUUUAUUCUGCCUUGUAUUUUAGUUAGGAUUUUUUUUAACCAUCUUUCCUACUAUUUUUCAAUGAGCAUGUCUGUUUACCUUAGCGCCUUGUAUGGUACGGAGAGUUUAGAUAGUUAAUGAAGGUGGUGAAUCAGAAACUGAAUGAAUGACUGCUAAAAAAGACCUCCAUUUUCUUCUUUACUGUUAGCAUUUUACCUUUUGAAAUACUAGAAAAAUAUACAUACUUAUAUGGGCUUCACCUAAACUGAGGUGAAUUAACUAAGAUAUACAUUCAAGAUACAGGAACCAUCUGGUAUUUGUUAUAGUGACAUACUCCAGAAUAUCUUUCAUCUGUUUUUCACAACUACAAGUCAUAGGAAUUACAUUUAUAAACAUUUCUCACCAUGUUACAUAAAAUAUUUCUAUUUUAUUUAUAUUCUACUUAAAAUGAAUGUUUUAUUGUGUUCUGUUUAUUAGUAAAUUAUCCAUAUUAAUUAUCCCUU